rnacentral:rRNA from 1 species
CAAGUCGAACGGCAGCACGGGUGCUUGCACCUGGUGGCGAGUGGCGAACGGGUGAGUAAUACAUCGGAACGUACCUUAUCGUGGGGGAUAACGCAGCGAAAGCUGUGCUAAUACCGCAUACGCCCUGAGGGGGAAAGCGGGGGAUCGCAAGACCUCGCGCGAUUAGAGCGGCCGAUGCCUGAUUAGCUUGUUGGUGGGGUAAAAGCCCACCAAGGCGACGAUCAGUAGCUGGUCUGAGAGGACGAUCAGCCACACUGGGACUGAGACACGGCCCAGACUCCUACGGGAGGCAGCAGUGGGGAAUUUUGGACAAUGGGGGCAACCCUGAUCCAGCAAUGCCGCGUGAGUGAAGAAGGCCUUCGGGUUGUAAAGCUCUUUUGUCAGGGAAGAAACACCGGCUCUAACACAGUCCGGGAAUGACGGUACCUGAAGAAUAAGCACCGGCUAACUACGUGCCAGCAGCCGCGGUAAUACGUAGGGUGCGAGCGUUAAUCGGAAUUACUGGGCGUAAAGCGUGCGCAGGCGGUUAUACAAGACAGGCGUGAAAUCCCCGGGCUUAACCUGGGAAUUGCGCUUGUGACUGCAUAGCUAGAGUAUGUCAGAGGGGGGUAGAAUUCCACGUGUAGCAGUGAAAUGCGUAGAGAUGUGGAGGAAUACCAAUGGCGAAAGCAGCCCCCUGGGAUAAUACUGACGCUCAUGCACGAAAGCGUGGGGAGCAAACAGGAUUAGAUACCCUGGUAGUCCACGCCCUAAACGAUGCUGACUAGUUGUUCGGGAUUUACAUCCUGAGUAACGUAGCUAACGCGUGAAGUCAGCCGCCUGGGGAGUACGGUCGCAGAUUAAACUCAAAGGAAUUGACGGG